GUGCCUCCGGCGGAGCGGCGAGCCUGCAGAGGUCGGAGAGUGGUAUGGAAUGGAAGCCAGGGGUCCGGCCCCCAAGAACAGUGGACAGGAUGGUCUCCGAUGUCCCCCCACUUCUAAAUUUGUGACGCUGUCAAUUUUGUGCCGAGCUGUCUUCCUUGAGUGACUUGCCCAGGGUCACACAGCUAAUGGAAGCUGGAUGCGACAGGAGAUAGAUUACUGGGCUUGUAUCAGGAGGACUUAUCUUCAUGAGUUCAGACUCGGCCUCAGACACUAACUUUGUGACCCCGUGUAAAGUCAUCCUUUGACCCUUUCUUCAUGAUUUGGGAUCACCCUCAUGCAUGUGAUGAAGUGUUCUCUGGGAUGAAUCUAAUAUUUAGAGCUAGAAGGACAAGAAAAACAAAACCCCUGUGAUGAAAAGGAUGUUCAAGCAAAACAAGUCCCCACAUUAGCCAAGUCCCAGAACUAGGUUCUCACUUUGUGUGCUAGUCUAUUAUCUUUCUGUCAGGAGGGAGAGAGCAUUCUUCAUCAAUCUUCUGGACUUCUGAUCAUUAUAUUGAUCAGAGUUCUUAAAUUUUAAAAAUUCUUCAUUUUUGUAAUGUUUUUUGGUAUUAGUUGUUUUCCCGGUUCUGUUCAAUUCACUUUGCAUCAAUCAGUUCAUACAAGACUUCCUAAGUCUCUCUGAAACCAUUUCCUUCAUAAUUUUAUUCAGUACCAAAAUGCCAUAAUUUGUUAAGCCAUCCCCAAUUGAUGGCCAUCCCUAUAGGUUCUAGCCCUUUGCCACCACAAAAAAAGAGCUGCUAGAAAUCUCUUUAUACUUAGAGGACCUUUUCUUCUUUCUUUGAUCUCCCUGGGGGGCAUACUCUUAUAAAUCUGAGAAAGGGAUGAGUCAGCAUAGGGUCACAGGCUGGUCCUACUUGAAAUUGUUGUGAUGAUCAGCUUGACAAGAAGGACUGAAGUGAGUUGCUCUGUUUCAUCUUCUGGUACCACAAGAAGGUGAGAUACAUCAGGGCAAAUCAAGAGAACCAAGACCCUACCUACUCUAAAUGCUUCGGUGAAGAUGGAGAUGACCACUUAAAACUGCU